UACGUAGGGCGCAAGCGUUGUCCGGAAUUACUGGGCGUAAAGCGCGCGUAGGCGGCUUUGCAAGUCGGGUGUGAAAUCCCCAGGCUUAACCUGGGAACUGCAUUCGAGACUGCAUUGCUAGAGUAUGGGAGAGGGAAGUGGAAUUUCCGGUGUAGCGGUGAAAUGCGUAGAUAUCGGAAGGAACAUCAGUGGCGAAAGCGACUUCCUGGACCAAUACUGACGCUCAUGUGCGAAAGCGUGGGGAGCAAACAGG
rnacentral:rRNA from 1 species